CGCCGGGGCGUGAUGACGCAGGACGUGCGCUCGGUGGCUCAUAGGGAAGAUGGCGGCUACUCUUUUGGAGGAGUGGGAUUGAGGGGCGGAGGGAGGAGGCCAGACAGGAGAGACAUUCCCAACGGCGAAGACGAACACUUCGCUCGCCAUCCAUUAGGAGCUCUGCUCAGCGCCAGAGGUGUCCUAGAACGAAAACAUCACCAUGGCUACAGAAAUUGGUUCUCCUCCUCGUUUUUUCCAUAUGCCAAGGUUCCAACACCAGGCACCUCGACAACUGUUUUAUAAGCGACCUGAUUUUGCACAGCAGCAAGCAAUGCAACAGCUUACCUUUGAUGGAAAACGAAUGAGAAAGGCAGUAAACCGAAAAACCAUCGACUAUAAUCCUUCCGUAAUUAAGUAUUUGGAGAAUAGAAUAUGGCAAAGAGACCAGAGAGAUAUGCGGGCAAUUCAGCCUGAUGCAGGUUAUUACAAUGAUUUGGUCCCACCUAUAGGGAUGUUGAAUAAUCCUAUGAAUGCAGUAACAACAAAGUUUGUUCGAACAUCAACAAAUAAAGUGAAGUGUCCAGUAUUUGUUGUUAGGUGGACUCCAGAAGGAAGGCGGUUGGUCACUGGAGCUUCUAGUGGAGAGUUCACCUUGUGGAAUGGACUCACUUUCAAUUUUGAAACAAUAUUACAGGCUCACGAUAGCCCAGUGAGGGCCAUGACUUGGUCGCAUAAUGACAUGUGGAUGUUGACAGCGGACCACGGAGGAUAUGUGAAAUACUGGCAGUCGAACAUGAACAACGUCAAGAUGUUCCAGGCACAUAAGGAGGCGAUUAGAGAGGCCAGUUUCUCACCCACGGAUAAUAAAUUUGCUACGUGCUCUGAUGACGGCACUGUUAGGAUCUGGGACUUUCUUCGUUGCCAUGAGGAAAGAAUUCUCCGAGGGCACGGUGCUGAUGUGAAAUGUGUAGACUGGCAUCCAACAAAAGGGUUAGUUGUUUCAGGAAGUAAAGAUAGUCAACAGCCAAUCAAGUUCUGGGAUCCCAAGACUGGGCAGAGUCUUGCAACACUUCACGCCCAUAAAAACACAGUCAUGGAAGUGAAAUUAAAUCUCAAUGGCAACUGGCUACUCACAGCAUCCCGUGACCAUCUCUGUAAACUUUUCGACAUCCGAAACCUGAAAGAAGAGCUCCAAGUCUUCCGAGGUCAUAAGAAAGAAGCUACAGCUGUGGCCUGGCAUCCUGUUCAUGAAGGACUUUUUGCAAGUGGAGGGUCUGACGGCUCUUUGUUAUUCUGGCAUGUUGGGGUGGAGAAGGAAGUUGGGGGGAUGGAGAUGGCCCACGAAGGAAUGAUCUGGAGUCUGGCUUGGCAUCCUCUUGGACACAUUCUCUGCUCAGGUUCAAACGACCACACUAGCAAAUUUUGGACCCGAAACCGACCAGGUGAUAAAAUGCGAGAUCGGUAUAAUCUAAACCUAUUACCUGGAAUGUCUGAAGAUGGAGUGGAAUAUGAUGACCUUGAACCUAAUAGCCUGGCAGUGAUUCCAGGGAUGGGAAUACCAGAACAGCUAAAAUUAGCUAUGGAGCAAGAACAGAUGGGGAAAGAUGAAUCCAAUGAAAUUGAAAUGACAAUUCCAGGUUUAGACUGGGGAAUGGAGGAGGUGAUGCAAAAAGAUCAGAAAAAAGUCCCUCAGAAGAAAGUUCCUUACGCAAAGCCGAUUCCUGCCCAGUUCCAGCAGGCUUGGAUGCAAAAUAAAGUUCCAAUUCCUGCGCCAAACGAAGUAUUGAAUGACAGAAAAGAGGACAUUAAAUUGGAAGAGAAGAAAAAAACACAAGCAGAAAUUGAGCAAGAGAUGGCCACGCUGCAGUACACUAACCCACAGCUGCUGGAGCAACUUAAAAUUGAAAGACUUGCACAGAAGCAGGCUGAGCAAAUUCAGCCUCCUCCUUCAUCCGGCACCCCUCUCCUGGGACCCCAGCCCUUUCCAGGACAAGGCCCAAUGUCUCAGAUUCCUCAAGGUUUUCAACAGCCUCAUCCGUCUCAGCAGAUGCCAAUGAACAUGGCUCAAAUGGGGCCUCCAGGUCCACAGGGACAGUUUAGACCCCCUGGACCCCAGGGACAAAUGGGACCACAAGGUCCUCCACUGCAUCAGGGAGGUGGGGGGCCACAAGGAUUCAUGGGACCACAAGGACCCCAGGGCCCGCCCCAGGGGUUGCCAAGGCCUCAGGACAUGCACGGGCCUCAAGGAAUGCAAAGACAUCCUGGACCUCAUGGCCCUUUGGGACCUCAAGGACCACCUGGACCACAGGGUAAUUCUGGUCCUCAAGGUCAUAUGGGUCCUCAGGGUCCGCCUGGCCCACAAGGUCACAUAGGCCCACAAGGCCCACCUGGCCCGCAGGGUCACUUGGGCCCUCAGGGACCUCCUGGUACUCAAGGUAUGCAGGGACCACCUGGUCCCAGAGGAAUGCAAGGACCUCCUCAUCCUCAUGGGAUACAAGGUGGGCCAGGAUCUCAAGGGAUCCAAGGUCCUGUGUCUCAGGGACCUCUGAUGGGAUUGAAUCCAAGAGGAAUGCAGGGCCCUCCUGGCCCCCGAGAGAAUCAGGGCCCUGCUCCCCAAGGGAUGAUGCUGGGCCACCCACCUCAAGAGAUGAGAGGACCUCAUCCUCCAAGUGGACUGCUGGGACACGGGCCUCAGGAGAUGCGGGGCCCCCAGGAGAUGCGGGGCAUGCAGGGGCCUCCACCCCAAGGAUCAAUGCUGGGCCCUCCGCAGGAACUGCGAGGGCCUCCAGGCUCACAAGGUCAGCAGGGGCCGCCCCAGGGCUCUUUGGGACCUCCACCCCAGGGUGGCAUGCAAGGGCCCCCUGGACCUCAGGGACAGCAGAACCCGGCAAGAGGGCCACAUCCAUCUCAAGGGCCAAUACCAUUCCAGCAGCAGAAAACAGCUCUGCUAGGUGAUGGGCCCCGGGCCCCCUUCAACCAGGAAGGACAGAGCGCAGGCCCCCCGCCCCUGAUACCAGGCCUAGGGCAGCAGGGGGCGCAAGGCCGCAUCCCCCCCCUUAACCCUGGACCAGGACCCGGCCCUAACAAAGGUGACUCGCGGGGGCCUCCAAACCACCACAUGGGCCCGAUGUCCGAGAGGCGGCACGAGCAGGGCAGUGGCCCCGAGCACGGCCCCGAGAGGGGGCCUUUCCGCGGCGGCCAGGACUGCAGGGGCCCCCCCGACAGGCGCGGCCCGCACCCGGACUUCCCUGAUGACUUCAGCAGACCAGACGACUUCCACCCUGACAAGCGCUUUGGCCACCGGUUACGUGAAUUUGAGGGGCGAGGAGGACCUUUACCCCAAGAGGAGAAGUGGAGGCGUGGGGGCCCCGGGCCUCCGUUUCCUCCUGACCACAGGGAGUUCAGUGAAGGGGAUGGCCGGGGCGCAGCCCGGGGCCCCCCAGGGGCGUGGGAAGGCCGCAGACCUGGAGAUGAGCGCUUCCCCCGGGACCCCGACGACCCACGCUUUCGAGGGCGCAGAGAAGAAAGCUUCAGACGAGGAGCCCCGCCGAGACACGAGGGCCGUGCUCCCCCCAGAGGAAGGGAUGGUUUUCCUGGUCUUGAGGACUUCGGGCCAGAGGAGAAUUUUGAUGCUUCUGAUGAAGCAGCCCGAGGAAGAGAUCUCAGAGGCCGAGGUCGGGGUACCCCCCGAGGAGGGAGGAAGGGGCUUACUUCCCACUCCUGAUGAGUUCCCUCGCUUUGAAGGAGGCCGGAAACCAGACUCCUGGGAUGGAAACAGAGAGCCAGGGCCAGGUCACGAACAUUUCCGGGACGCUCCCCGCCCCGACCACCCCCCUCACGACGGUCACUCCCCAGCCAGCAGAGAGCGGUCCUCUUCUCUCCAAGGCAUGGACAUGGCAUCCCUCCCGCCCCGAAAGCGCCCCUGGCACGAUGGGCCCGGGACCUCUGAGCACAGAGACAUGGAAGCGCCAGGGGGUCCCUCCGAGGACCGAGGAGGCAAAGGCCGAGGGGGCCCAGGACCUUCCCAGAGAGUGCCCAAGUCCGGGCGUCCCAGCUCCUUGGAUGGAGAUCACCAUGACGGAUACCACAGAGAUGAACCUUUUGGGGGCCCUCCAGGCAGUGGUACCCCUUCGAGAGGGGGCCGGAGUGGCAGUAACUGGGGUAGAGGGAGUAACAUGAACUCUGGCCCGCCACGGCGAGGAGCUUCAAGGGGGGGUGGGAGGGGUCGGUAGGAACUGGGGCUCCAUCCCUCUGGGCCUCUCUGGACAGUAUUUAAGAACUUCCUGUGGACUCACCAAGAGAAACAAAAGGAAACCUGCACCAUGUAGCCCUGAGCUCCUUCCGGGGCAGCCGAAGCCCAGGAGCCCCUAACGAGGUCUUCACGACGAGACUGCUGCUGGCCGCGCAGAGUCGCCGGCCUUGUUCUGUCCUGUCCACCCACUGCCCCGACUCCCACAUUGUUUUGUGAAGAUAAACGCUGGAAUCCUUUUUUUUUAAGUGUCACGAGACAUGGAGCACCUCCACCAAUUUAAGUUCAUGUCCAAUUGGAAAUUUGUUUCUAUAUGUACAGUUUGUCAGAGAAAAAACAUUAAGUUGUUUUUGUAUGAAUACAGAAUGUGAUUUAAGCAAGAAUUAACAGAAAA